rnacentral:rRNA from 1 species
UACGUAGGGCCCAAGCGUUGUUCGGAUUUACUGGGCGUAAAGGGCGCGUAGGCGGCAAUUCAAGUCAUCUGUGAAAUCUCCGGGCUUAACUCGGAAUGGUCAGGUGAUACUGCUUUGCUAGAGUGCAGAAGGGGCAAUCGGAAUUCUUGGUGUAGCGGUGAAAUGCGUAGAUAUCAAGAGGAACACCUGAGGUGAAGACGAGUUGCUGGGCUGCCACUGACGCUGAGGCGCGAAAGCUAGGGGAGCAAACGGG